UGCUUGCCAAUUUUCAUUAUAUUGGCGAAGCUGUCAUAUGUUUUGUUUUCAAAAAGUGAAAAUUAAAAGAAUUCAUGGCUUUAUCACGGAUUAGUGUCGGUGUUUUCAUUUUUCGUGAAGUUAUUCAGCUGCAAAUGUACAUUUACCUGUAGUGCAAUUUCAUCGGACGCGAAGUCUUCAUGAACAAAACAUUAUGUGGCAACAGCACAAAACUAAAAGUCAGAAAAUGCACGCGGAACUAGAGGAAUCCGAAAAGGAAAUGGACUUUGUGCGUAGUACCAAACCAUAGUGAAACAAUUUUAAAGCUGAAGUGCUGGACUUAAGAUCCGGAUUGAAUGUAAUCAAUUCCACCCACAAAACGAUGGCAUUCUUGUCUUGAUGAAGUAACCAAAUGUUUGAAGAAUCAAUGCGUUUUUUCGGAAAAGCUGAUGCGACGAUGAUAUGCUUUAUUCCGCAAAAUCCACUUUACUGCCCUAAAUCAACUAUGGUAAAUAUGCGCUAUACUGAGAUGUUAAAUAAUACAGAUAUUCAACGACGUCAGCUGAUCCGCCAUUCUGCAGCCGGGGCAACAUUUGAGAGAAAGAUCCACUUGAAAGAAUAAAUAAUGAUCCAAG